GUCAAUGUUAGGGAUCAUCAUCAUCACCAUAACAAUAACGCCAAUCAUCAGUUCCACGGAAACCGUGUGCGAAGUGACAGCGAAUAACGCGAAGUCUACAGCCUUAACGGUCCGACAGCCAAGCAGACGGCGCAGCCUUGUGAGGUGCAAGCGUUGAGCGGAGGAAGGAAGCUUAGGCGGCGGCGGCGCGUCAAAGCUCCUUUGCGGCCAUGGUCUGCUUAGCCAUGAUGGCCUGCCCCUGCUCCGAUGGCAGCCAUGCCCGUCGACAAUAAGACUGCAGGUGCGAAGCGCCUACCGUAUUACCUCAUCGUCGAUGGCCAAGAUGAAGCAGCUGCGCGACCGCCAAUCCUCAGACGUGCUGCGCGACCGCUGAUCCCCAGACGUGCGGCGCGACGCCGUGGCGUUGGACCAGCGAAAGCCGCCUCCGAAGCCGGUGGUCACAGGGACAAGGGAGCGUCGUCAGGAGGUUGAAAACGCGGUUGUUCCAUAUAGAACGCUUUUAAGCAAACUUCUAGACAGCAUUAUGAAAGGAAAAAAAAAGCGUUUGUUGUGUCGUUUUUAA